UGACUNGAGUGCAGAAGGGGAGAGUGGAAUUCCAUGUGUAGCGGUGAAAUGCGUAGAUAUAUGGAGGANCACCAGUGGCGAAAGCGGCUCUCUGGUCUGUCACUGACGCUGAGGCUCGAAAGCGUGGGUAGCGAACAGGAUUAGAUACCCUGGUAGUCCACGCCGUAAACGAUGAGUGCUAGGUGUUAGGCCCUUUCCGGGGCUUAGUGCCGGAGCUAACGCAAUAAGCACUCCGCCUGGGGAGUACGACCGCAAGGUUGAAACUCAAAGGAAUUGACGGGGGCCCGCACAAGCGGUGGAGCAUGUGGUUUAAUUCGAAGCAACGCGAAGAACCUUACCAGGUCUUGACAUCCCGAUGCUAUUCUUAGAGAUAGGAAGUUACUUCGGUACAUCGGAGACAGGUGGUGCAUGGUUGUCGUCAGCUCGUGUCGUGAGAUGUUGGGUUAAGUCCCGCGACGAGCGCAACCCUUAUUGUUAGUUGCCAUCAUUAAGUUGGGCACUCUAGCGAGACUGCCGGUAAUAAACCGGAGGAAGGUGGGGAUGACGUCAAAUCAUCAUGCCCCUUAUGACCUGGACUACACACGUGCUACAAUGGUCGGUACAACGAGUUGCGAGCCGGUGACGGCAAGCUAAUCUCUGAAAGCCGAUCUCAGUUCGGAUUGGAGGCUGCAACUCGCCUCCAUGAAGUCGGAAUCGCUAGUAAUCGCGGAUCAGCACGCCGCGGUGAAUACGUUCCCGGGCCUUGUACACACCGCCCGUCACACCACGAGAGUUUGUAACACCCGAAGUCGGUGA
rnacentral:rRNA from 1 species